ACAUUGCAAAGCAAGAAUAUACUCACACAAAAAUUUCAUAAAGUACGAUUCCUAAAAUGGCAUUUCUUAAGCUUGGUUCCAUCUGCGCUAUUCUUCUCAUGGCAGCCACUAUUAAUUUGAUGUGGUUAUCAAAGAUGCAAGUAAUGGCUGGACGGGAUAUUAAUUAUGAUCUCCCAGAGAUGGAAAGGAGAUUACUCCCUCAACUUAAUACUUGUUUUAGAUCUUGCAAAUUCGACAGUGACUGUAGUGACUGCAUACUUUGCUGUCAUUGUAAUUUCGCGACAUUCAACACGUUCCAAUGUGGUCCCAGGACUGGAGUAUAAAGAGAACACUAUUGUCCAAUUGCAACAACCUACUCCAAAACUGUGUAACACAUUUAUGAUAUCCUAUAAUUGAUAUGUUUCCUUCCUCUUUUCCUCUUUCCGUUAUUUUAUGUUGUACGAAUAAUGAUGUAUGUCAAGUGAUAAUAUCCAAUUCAGGAAUAAAGAUAAAUUAAUUUCGUCUUGUCUA